UACGUAGGGUGCGAGCGUUAAUCGGAAUUACUGGGCGUAAAGCGUGCGCAGGCGGCGCGUUAAGCCAGGUGUGAAAGCCCCGAGCUUAACUUGGGAAUUGCGCUUGUGACUGGCGAGCUGGAGUGUGGCAGAGGGAGGUGGAAUUCCACGUGUAGCAGUGAAAUGCGUAGAGAUGUGGAGGAACACCGAUGGCGAAGGCAGCCUCCUGGGCCAGCACUGACGCUCAUGCACGAAAGCGUGGGGAGCAAACAGG
rnacentral:rRNA from 1 species